GAUGAACGCUGGCGGCGUGCCUAAUACAUGCAAGUCGAGCGAAUGGAUUAAGAGCUUGCUCUUAUGAAGUUAGCGGCGGACGGGUGAGUAACACGUGGGUAACCUGCCCAUAGGACUGGGAUAACUCCGGGAAACCGGGGCUAAUACCGGAUAGCAUUUUGAACCGCAUGGUUCGAAAUUGAAAGGCGGCUUCGGCUGUCACUUAUGGAUGGACCCGCGUCGCAUUAGCUAGUUGGUGAGGUAACGGCUCACCAAGGCAACGAUGCGUAGCCGACCUGAGAGGGUGAUCGGCCACACUGGGACUGAGACACGGCCCAGACUCCUACGGGAGGCAGCAGUAGGGAAUCUUCCGCAAUGGACGAAAGUCUGACGGAGCAACGCCGCGUGAGUGAUGAAGGCUUUCGGGUCGUAAAACUCUGUUGUUAGGGAAGAACAAGUGCUAGUUGAAUAAGCUGGCACCUUGACGGUACCUAACCAGAAAGCCACGGCUAACUACGUGCCAGCAGCCGCGGUAA
rnacentral:rRNA from 1 species